rnacentral:rRNA from 1 species
CGCUCGUAGUCGGAUUUCGGGGCGGGCCGACCGGUCUGCCGAUGGGUAUGCACUGGCCGGCGCGUCCUUCCACCCGGAGACCGCGCCUACUCUUAACUGAGCGGGCGCGGGAGACGGGUCUUUUACUUUGAAAAAAUCAGAGUGUUUCAAGCAGGCAGUCGCUCUUGCAUGGAUUAGCAUGGGAUAAUGAAAUAGGACUCUGGUGCUAUUUUGUUGGUUUCGAACACCGGAGUAAUGAUUAACAGGGACAGUCAGGGGCACUCGUAUUCCGCCGAGAGAGGUGAAAUUCUCAGACCAGCGGAAGACGAACCACUGCGAAAGCAUUUGCCAGGGAUGUUUUCACUGAUCAAGAACGAAAGUUAGGGGAUCGAAGACGAUCAGAUACCGUCGUAGUCUUAACCAUAAACCAUGCCGACUAGGGAUUGGAGGAUGUUCCAUUUGUGACUCCUUCAGCACCUUUCGGGAAACUAAAGUCUUUGGGUUCCGGGGGGAGUAUGGUCGCAAGGCUGAAACUUAAAGGAAUUGACGGAAGGGCACCACCAGGAGUGGAGCCUGCGGCUUAAUUUGACUCAACACGGGGAAACUUACCAGGUCCAGACAUUGUGAGGAUUGACAGAUUGAGAGCUCUUUCUUGAUUCGAUGGGUGGUGGUGCAUGGCCGUUCUUAGUUGGUGGAGUGAUUUGUCUGGUUAAUUCCGUUAACGAAC